rnacentral:sRNA from 1 species
GAAGUCUGGCAAGGCAGGCCCUGCACCCAAACAAGUCUGAGCACUCUCUGCAAUGUUACUUUUGCUGGAUGAAGCCAGGAAUUCUGGGUGCUUGGGGUUGCCCAAUACCAUUGAUUUGUGAGUCAUGUUGCAUCGCGAAACUCAUGCAGCUUUUCCCCAGUUGGACUGUUCUUCUCUUGAGAAUGAUGUCCACCAAUGUGAAUUCAACAUGGCAAAAGCUCUGAUUGAUGAUCCUGCACUGACAUUGGAGCAGAUUUCUGUUCUGAAGAAUGAGUUGCAAAAGAUGGAUAUACUGAGGGAGUUGGCGGAUCUGCUUCGUCUCGUGUUGAUUGUCAACCCGGGCGAACAACCCUCUGCUAUUCAUGU